CAUAGGUUAAUGAGGCGAACCGGGGGAACUGAAACAUCUAAGUACCCCGAGGAAAAGAAAUCAACCGAGAUUCCCCCAGUAGCGGCGAGCGAACGGGGAGCAGCCCAGAGCCUGAAUCAGUAUGUGUGUUAGUGGAAGCGUCUGGAAAGGCGCGCGAUACAGGGUGACAGCCCCGUACACAAAAAUGCACAUGCUGUGAGCUCGAUGAGUAGGGCGGGACACGUGGUAUCCUGUCUGAAUAUGGGGGGACCAUCCUCCAAGGCUAAAUACUCCUGACUGACCGAUAGUGAACCAGUACCGUGAGGGAAAGGCGAAAAGAACCCCGGCGAGGGGAGUGAAAAAGAACCUGAAACCGUGUACGUACAAGCAGUGGGAGCACGCUUAGGCGUGUGACUGCGUACCUUUUGUAUAAUGGGUCAGCGACUUAUAUUCUGUAGCAAGGUUAACCGAAUAGGGGAGCCGAAGGGAAACCGAGUCUUAACUGGGCGUUAAGUUGCAGGGUAUAGACCCGAAACCCGGUGAUCUAGCCAUGGGCAGGUUGAAGGUUGGGUAACACUAACUGGAGGACCGAACCGACUAAUGUUGAAAAAUUAGCGGAUGACUUGUGGCUGGGGGUGAAAGGCCAAUCAAACCGGGAGAUAGCUGGUUCUCCCCGAAAGCUAUUUAGGUAGCGCCUCGUGAAUUCAUCUCCGGGGGUAGAGCACUGUUUCGGCAAGGGGGUCAUCCCGACUUACCAACCCGAUGCAAACUGCGAAUACCGGAGAAUGUUAUCACGGGAGACACACGGCGGGUGCUAACGUCCGUCGUGAAGAGGGAAACAACCCAGACCGCCAGCUAAGGUCCCAAAGUCAUGGUUAAGUGGGAAACGAUGUGGGAAGGCCCAGACAGCCAGGAUGUUGGCUUAGAAGCAGCCAUCAUUUAAAGAAAGCGUAAUAGCUCACUGGUCGAGUCGGCCUGCGCGGAAGAUGUAACGGGGCUAAACCAUGCACCGAAG
rnacentral:rRNA from 1 species